rnacentral:sRNA from 1 species
ACGCGAAGAACUGAUCCGGUUCUUUGCCUCCCAAACGAAAGGCCGCCCUUCGGGGCGGCCUUUUGCUUUGCCUGGC